CUGGAGGUAUCAGAAGUGCGAAUGCUGACAUAAGUAACGAUAAAGCGGGUGAAAAGCCCGCUCGCCGGAAGACCAAGGGUUCCUGUCCAACGUUAAUCGGGGCAGGGUGAGUCGACCCCUAAGGCGAGGCCGAAAGGCGUAGUCGAUGGGAAACGGGUUAAUAUUCCCGUACUUGGUGUUACUGCGAAGGGGGGACGGAGAAGGCUAUGUUGGCCGGGCGACGGUUGUCCCGGUUUAAGCGUGUAGGUGUGUGUUCCAGGUAAAUCCGGUUCACUUUAACACUGAGGCGUGACGACGAGGCACUACGGUG
rnacentral:rRNA from 1 species